GUCAGGGAAAAUGACACUUCAUUCUUGAACCUUGGCUCUCAGCUUCUGAAGCUCUGGAGGACAUUGGGAUACUGCAAAGGAGUUUUUUUAGGAUGACUCCGCCCCCUUCUGAUCUAGCUCUUGGCCUCUCUGCUCAUUAAGAAUCAACUCUAAGCCAGGAAAUCAAGGAAGUAAAUCAUGUACCCGAAGGCAAGCACUGUUAGGCCUAAAGCCCUGCUCCUCCUGUCAGUGAGGUCUGGCCCUUGGCCUGAGCAUGCUUUGUCUGGAGCUCUGGGUCUCCAUAUGACUCCUCAGACCUUCUCCUCUGACCCUUCCGACCUCAUGCUUGCCAGCCUCCAUUGCAAAAGACAGGUCGGACGGCUCUUCCUCUUCUCCAUCUCCCUGUCCCGAGAAGCUGCUAAAGAUAUACAUCUUGGGGUUGGGGAUUUAGCUCAGUGGUAGAGCGCUUGCCUAGCAAGUGCAAGGUCCUGGGUUUGGUCCCCAGCUCCGAAAAAAAAAAAAAGAUAUACAUCUUGUUUGUUCUUAAAAUGAAACAAAACCUCCAAAACUAAUAAAACUGCCUCCAAGCUUCUUUCUUAGUCCAUUCCUAAAUUAUUUUAUUAAUAAGAGCCUAUAAAAAAAAAAAAAAGAGCCGGCAUAGUGGUGCCUGCCUUUAAUACCAGCAUUCCAGAGGUAGAGGUGAGUGGAUCUUUAUGAGUUUGAGGCCAGCCUCGUCUAGAGAGAAUUCCAGGACAGCCAGACUACACAGAGAGACCCUGUCUCAUGAAAAUAGAAAUAUAAAAAUAUAACCCACAAAACCACCCCUAAUUUCCCCCAGAAAGGGUUCCAGUUGGAAGAGAGUGAGUAUGGAUAGGUUUCCCUUGGUGAAGCCAGUUACACAUGCAGUCUAAAUAUUUAACACUUCAGGUGAGGGCCUUGCGCAAUGACACAAUACUUCCCUAGCAGACACAAGGCCCUGAAUUCCAUCUCCGACACCAAUAGGGGGGGAAAGUAGUUUAACUCUUUCGAGUGUGUGGACCAGUUCCAGCUAAGCAUUGGGUUUAUUGUGCAAAAGUUCACAUGAUCCGACUCAUCUUCUCAAACCGAAACAAGACCAUUACAUGCUGCUUCCCUCACUUCCCCUUCCUCCAGCUCUGUAGCAACCACCAUCCUGGUUUUGUUUAAUGUGACUAAUUUAUAUACCUGUAGCAUAAUAUGAAUUUUAAUUACAUCUAUGUUAUUUAACCUUUGUUCCAGUUCUUGGCUCAGAGCUCCAAGAUUCCCUGGAAUGCUCUGAAUGACAGAAGUGUCUUUUUUUAAUUCUUAAGAGUCCCUCUGGGCUGGAGAGAUGGCUCAGAGGUUAAGAGCACCGACUGCUCUUCUAGAGGUCCUGAGUUCAAAUCCCAGCAACCACAUGGUGGCUCACAACCACCCGUAAUGGAAUCCGAUGCCCUCUUCUGGUGUGUCUGAAGACAGCUACAAUGUACUCAUACACAAAAUAAAUAAAUCUAAAAAAAAAAAAAAAAGAGUCCCUUCACAAAAGACCUGAGGUAUGUUAAUGAAGUAACAGGUCAAGACUCCUUGGUCAGUGCUUGGGGGGGUGUAAUUACCUUUACUUAUAAAGCAGUUACUGGGGGUUAGGGAUUUAGCUCAGUGGUAGAGCGCUUGCCUAGGAAGCGCAAGGCCCUGGGUUCGGUCCCCAGCUCCGAAAAAAAGAAAAAAAAUAAAUAAAGCAGUUACUGGAAAAUGGGAACUACCUGUUUCAUCUUCUAUAACUCCAGGGGGGAACCCUGGAGACUGAGCUGGAUUGAAAACUCUAGACUCUAGAGACAGAAUUCUAAAGUCUAGAAUGUUGAAUCACAGAGAGUGUGCAGGCUGGGAACACACAGGGGGCUGGGACGUUGGCCUACAAGGACCAGGAGUAACUCCACACAGUCUCUUUUCCCAUGCCAAACAUCUAACAUUUCCUAUACUGCAUCCUUCAAAAGCUGGCAAAUUUUAAGUCAGGUAGUCUCAUCUGUCUGUGAGCUUUAAACCUCCAGCGCUAAUCUGGUUGGUGAGGGUAUGGGUGGUCCCUGUGUUACGGUUUGAGUAUGCUCGGCCCAGGGAGUGGUACUAUUUGAAGGUGUAGCCUUGUUGAAGUAGAUGUGUCACUGUGGGUGUGAGCUUAAGACCCUCACCUUAGCUGCCUGGAAGCCAGUCUUCCACUAGCAGCCUUCAGAUGAAGAUGUAGAACUCUCAACUCUGCCUGCACCAUGCCUGCCUGGAUGCUACCAUGUUCCUGCCUUGAUACUGGACUGAACCUCUGAACCUGUAAGCCAGCCCCAAUUAAAUGUCGUCUUUUAUAAGACUUGCCUUGGUCAUGAUGUCUGUUCACAGCAGUAAAACCCUAACUAAGACACCGUGGAAGUCCUUCACUACACAAGUGUAGGGUUGGGCAGACUUGUGUGACUGAAGUCCUGCAGAGUCUGCGAAGUCCAGUUUGCUUUUAGUGACUUGAACCCUUUGAUACCCGGCUUUUCAUGUCUAGCUUCCCCUGUUCUGAGAACCACUACUAGAAGUCCUCAGCGGGACUGCAGACUCCAGUUAACUUUGCCACAGCUAACACCUCUUGUUCUUAACAUUGCUUUUCAGGAACUUGGUAAUGCCAGCCAGUUGAAAACAUUGACCCUUCACUUUGGAUUGUGCAAGUUGCCCACGAGUGACCUUUGGAGCACUUAAACCCCAUCCUCAAAGCACACUACUCUUCCUCAUUAAAAGACUUUGACUUCCUUGUUAA